AUCAAAGAUUGAUAAUAUCAAAGAAUAAAGAUGCUAAAGAUUUAGGAUGUCAAAAAUUGAAAAUAUCAAUGAUUGAGGAUAUUUAAAGAUUGAGGAUAUCAAACAUUGAGGAUAUCAAUUUGACAAAGAUUGAAGAAAUCAAAGAUUGAGGAUGGCGAUGAUUGAGGAUAUCAAAGAUUAAAAAUAUCAAAGACCGAGGAUAACAAAGAUUGAGGAUGACAUUCAUUAAAGACUUAAGGACAAAGGGAUACAUAAUAACAGGUCACAGUAGUGCCUUCAGCAAAACUCACACCGUAUAGUCAGCUAUAAAAGUCGUCGGAACGUCAUACUGUGAAACAGCUCAAACGGGAAAACCAAUCCCCGAUUUAUAGUACAAACAUGCACGUAAACAAUUAUGGCAUAUACCAACCAAAUACACCAACUAGAAAACAAACACCGGUCUUACCGACUUCAUUUUACUUUCCCUAGAAUUCCAUUACGGAAAAAUCGGAUGGUAGGCGCACAACAACACCAAAUACAUUGUAAAUUCUAAAUACAAAAUAUAAAUCAUACUUUCAUUGACAUAAAAUAAACGCGCACAUACAAGCAGAG
rnacentral:lncRNA from 1 species